CAGAUACCGAUGAAAACUCGACACCUUUGAGGAACAAAGUUUCUGUACGUUGAAAAAUUGCAACCUACAAAUUACUUCUACCAAACCGUACAAGAAGAAGCUCAAGAUGGAAUACAAACACAACUCACUCCUCCGAGUACCAAGAAUUCUUCCAACUACAAAAACCAACUAAAAUCACCUAUACAAUACACGAAUUAUCCACAAGCCAGUAGAUAUUGAAUUAAGUUGAAAUUCGAAAUAUUUAACUCCCUCCAUCGUGAUCGAACUUGGAAUCCAUCGUACCAACUCCACCACCGUCGGUGUCUGCAGAACCACAGAAAUUUAUAACACAGGCUGGCACGGAGGGACGCGGGAACGGUGGACGGUCGUUGACACGUGAGCUGGAAAGAGAGAGCAGCCGGCUUCGGUAAAUUGGAGCUCGGUAAUCGUAAGAAGAGGUCAGUAGUGCAGUUUAGCCACGGUAUAAGAGCGGCCCCAACAUCGGUUACUCCACUAAAGUAGUUCGAACGUUGCACGGUGUCGCCA